GCCACGCCCGCUCAAGAACUCAAAGGAAUUGACGGGGCCGCACAAGCGGUGGAGUAUGUGGUUUAAUUCGAUGCAACGCGAAGAACCUUACCUGGUCUUGACAUCCCGGAGACCCUUAGGAAACUAGGGGGUGCUUCCAUCUGGAAGAAUCUGGAGACAGGUGCUGCAUGGCUGUCGUCAGCUCGUGUCGUGAGAUGUUGGGUUAAGUCCCGCAACGAGCGCAACCCUUGCCUUUAGUUGCCAGCAGUUCGGCUGGGCACUCUAAAGGGACUGCCGGUGUUAAACCGGAGGAAGGUGGGGAUGACGUCAAGUCCUCAUGGCCUUUAUGACCAGGGCUACACACGUACUACAAUGGCCGAUACAAAGGGCAGCGACACUGCGAGGUGAAGCCAAUCCCGUAAAAUCGGUCUCAGUCCGGAUUGGAGUCUGCAACUCGACUCCAUGAAGUUGGAAUCGCUAGUAAUCGCGCAUCAGCCAUGGCGCGGUGAAUACGUUCCCGGGCCUU
rnacentral:rRNA from 1 species